rnacentral:rRNA from 1 species
GGAGCUUGCUCCCGCGAAGGUUAGCGGCGGACGGGUGAGUAACACGUAGGCAACCUGCCCGCAAGACCGGGAUAACAUUCGGAAACGAAUGCUAAGACCGGAUACGCAAGAGGGAGGCAUCUUCCUGUUGGGAAACACGGAGCAAUCUGUGGCUUGCGGAUGGGCCUGCGGCGCAUUAGCUAGUUGGUGGGGUAACGGCUCACCAAGGCGACGAUGCGUAGCCGACCUGAGAGGGUGAACGGCCACACUGGGACUGAGACACGGCCCAGACUCCUACGGGAGGCAGCAGUAGGGAAUCUUCCACAAUGGGCGCAAGCCUGAUGGAGCAACGCCGCGUGAGUGAGGAAGGCCUUCGGGUCGUAAAGCUCUGUUGCCAGGGAAGAAUAAGGGUGAGGUGACUACUCACCCGAUGACGGUACCUGAGAAGAAAGCCCCGGCUAACUACGUGCCAGCAGCCGCGGUAAUACGUAGGGGGCGAGCGUUGUCCGGAAUUAUUGGGCGUAAAGCGCGCGCAGGCGGUUUCUUAAGUCUGGUGUUUAAGUGCGGGGCUCAACCCCGUGACGCACUGGAAACUGGGAGACUUGAGUGCAGGAGAGGAGAGCGGAAUUCCACGUGUAGCGGUGAAAUGCGUAGAGAUGUGGAGGAACACCAGU